GCCUUAUGUUGCCUGAAAACUGUGUGCAUGGAAUAAUGGAAUAGGACCUUGGUUCUAUUUUGUUGGCUUUUCUGAACUCGAGGUAAUGAUUAAUAGGGACAGACGGGGGCAUUCGUAUUGCGACGUUAGAGGUGAAAUUCUUGGAUCGUCGCAAGACGAACCGAUGCGAAAGCGUUUGCCAAGAAUGUUUUCGCUAAUCAAGAACGAAAGUUAGAGGUUCGAAGGCGAUCAGAUACCGCCCUAGUUCUAACCAUAAACGAUGCCAGCCAGCGAUGCGCCGAAGUUUAUUUAAAUGACUCGGCGCGCAGCUUCCGGGAAACCAAAGCUUUUGGGUUCCGGGGGAAGU
rnacentral:rRNA from 1 species